UAAUGCAUGCAUUGGCUUCCCCAUGACUUAGCCUCCUCUGCCCUUGCCCUGGGACCACUGCAUGUGGAGGGGAGGCCACGACUGUGAACAUGGGAAAGUAGAUGCUUCCACAAGUUCCUUCACGGAUUUUUGUUAUUGUCCAAGGCUAUCAAUCUCAGCCUUUGACCCAUAAACAUACAUAAUGGUGCAUUAGGGUAGGUUAGGCUGUGGGAAUAAAAAAAAACCAAACCCAGUGCCGUCGACUCCAGAUGUACAUUGGCUCAAAUACAAUAGAACCUUAUUUUUUGCUCAUCGGUCUAAGGUGGGUGUUCCUAAUUGAUGGAUGCAUCUCUAUUGAGGGAGCCAGGCUCCAUCCAUUUCGUUACCCUGCUAUUCCCUACGGCCUCCACCCUCUGUCUCCAGUGGGCAGAAAGAGAACGAGAGUAUGGAGAAGGAGGCACACAUCCCUGGAGCCCAGAGUGGUGCACAUCACCUUCACUAACAUUCUGUUGGCAAAAUAGCAAGAUCUGAUCAUUUUGCUGCACUUCACUCCAAGGGGGAAACCCUGGUGGCAUAGUGGUUAAGUGCUACAGCUGCUAACCAAAGGGUCUGCAGUUUGAAUCCUCCAGGCACUCCUUGGAAACUCUGUGGGGCAGUUCUACUCUGCCCUGUAGAGUCGCUAUGAGUUGGAAUUGACUCGAUGGCACUGGGUACUGGGUUUAACUCCAAGGGAGUCAAGGAGGUACCUAGAUUUUGGUAAAGAGUUUUCCCUUGCAUAGUGGAAGCCACUCGCAGGGUAUAAAUACAUGGGCAUAUUCAAAGUUAAGCGAAAUUCCCAUAAUGCUGGUUGUAAUGCCGCCUCUGUCUUCCCCACUAAAGAAAAUUGUUGGAAUGCAAUGUAUGAAAAUGCUGUCACUAUAGUUUGGAGUCCAUUCAGAUUUUGAUUUUUAAAAAUCAGUAUCAAGCUUCAGUAUUUCAGCAUAGUGGAAAUUGCAUGGACUGUGGAGCCAGCCUACCUGGGCUGGAAUCCUGGAUCUCCCACUUCCUAACUGCCUGACCUUCAGGAAGUCUUAGCUUCUCUGUGCCUCAGUUUUCUCACCUGUAAAAUUGGAAUAAUAAUAAUAGUAGUAGCACCUGCCUCAUAGGAUUGUUGGAAGAAUGAAACAAGUUCACACAUGUACAGUCCAUUCUCAUUAUUCAUGGUCCUUAUGCUCUGUAAAGUAUCCUUGAACACUGAAUUAGUGACUACAGAAACUGUCUCGUACAACCUCACCUGGCAACAUGCACCUCAGGUGACUCAAGUUUUUCACCCUUUGCACCUGUGCAUGUCCACUAAAGACUGCCAAAAGCACCUGAGUAUUUUUAGCAAGUAGGUGAAUUGGCAAAUACCCAACUUGAGAAAAAUGAAGAUCGAAUGUAUUUGGCACGGGGCCCAGUACAUUGCUGUUGUUAGGCGCUGUAGAGCCAGCACCUAUGUACAACAGAAUGAAACACUGUGCCAUCCUCACAAUUGUUGCUGCGUUUGAGCCCAUUGUUGCAGCCACUGUGUCAACCUAUCUGUUGAAAAUCUUCCUCUUUUUUGCUGACCCUCUAACUUACCAAGCAUGAUGUUCUUCUCCUGGGACUGAUGCCUCGUGAUAACAUGUUCAAACUAUGUGAGGCACAGUCUUGCCAUCCUCGCUUCUAACGAGCAUUCUGGCUCUACUUCUUCCAAAACAGAUUUGUUUGUUCUUCUGGCAGUCCACGGUAUAUUCAAUAUUCUUUGGCAACAUCAUAAUUCAAAGGCAUCUAUUCUUUUUCCAUCUUCCUUAUUCAUUGUCCAGCUUUCACAUGCGUAUGAGGUGAUUGAAAAUACCAUGGCUUGGGUCAGGCACAGCUUAGUCCUCAAGGUGACGUUUUUGCUUUUUUAACACUUUAAAGAGAAAUUUGCAACAGAUUUGCCCAAUGCAAUACGUCAUUUCAUUUCUUGACUGCUGCUUCUGUGAGUGUUGAUUGUGGAUCCAAAUAAAAUGAAAUCCUUGACAACUUUCAAUAUUUUCUCCAUUUCCAUUUAUCAUGAUGUUGCUUAUUGGUCCAGGGUGAGGAUUUUUUAAAAAAAAAAUUUUAUGUAUAUUUUUUCUUUUAUUGUACUUUACAUGAAGGUUUACAGAGCAAACUAGUUUCUCAUUAAACAACACACAUAUUGUUUCCUGAUAUUGGUUGCCAACUCUACAACAUGUCAACACUCUCCCCUUUUCGACCUUGGGUUCCCCUCCUGCUUUCUUGUCCUUGGCCCUGGACUGUUGUGCCCUUUUAAUCUCGUUUUGUUUUAUGGGCCUGUCUAAUCUUUGGCUAAAGGGAAAACAUUAGGAGUGACUUCAUCACUGAGCUAUAAAGGUGUCUGGGGGCCAUAGUCUCGAGGUUUCUCCAGUUCCUGUCAGACCAGUAAGUCUAGUCUUUUUUUCUUUUUUUGUGAGUUAGAAUUUUGUUCUGCAUUUUUCUCCAGCUCUGUCUGGGACCCUCUAUUGUGAUUCCUGUCAGGGCAGUUGGUGGUAGUAGCAGAGCACCAUCUAGUUAUUCUGGACUCUGUCUGGUGAAGGCUAUAGUACUUGUGGUCCAUUAGUCCUUUGGACUAACCUUGCCCUUGUGUCUUUGGUUUUCUUCAUUCUCCCUGGCUCCAGAUGGGGUAAGACCUGUGGAGUAUAUUAGAUGGCCGCUUGCAAGCUUUUAAAGACCCCAGACGCUACUUAGCAAAGUAGAAUGUACAAUGUUUUCCUUAUAAACUGUGUUAUGCCAAUUGAGCUAGAUGUUCCCCAAGACCAUGGUCCCCACAACCCUCAGCCCAGUAAUUUGGUCUCUCGGGGCGUUUGGAUGUGUCUAUGGAGCUACCAGGACCUUGCCUUGGAAGAGCUGUGCUGGCUUCUCCAGGACUGUGUAUUGUCUUACCCUUCAUCAAAGUUACUACUUAUCUAUUGUCUAUUUAGUGUCUUUUCCUCCCCACCACUUCCAUCCCUCAUGACAAUCAAAGAUUGUUUCUUUUUGUGUGUAAAUCUUUUCAUGAGUUUUUAUAAUAGUGGUCUCAUAGAAUAUUUGUCCUUUUGUCAUUGACUUAUUUCACUCAGCAUAAUGCCCUCCAGAUUCACCCAUGUUGUGAGAUGCAUUACAGAUUCAUCAUUGUUCUUUAAUCGUUGCGUAGUAUUCCACUGUGUGUAUGUGCCAAAGUUUGUUUAUCCACUAAUCUGUUGAUGGGCCUGUAGGUUGUUUCCAUCUUUUUGCCGUUGUGACCAAUGCUGCAAUGAACAUGGGUGUGCAUAUGUCUAUUCGUGUGAUGACUCUUAUUUCUCUAGGAUAUAUUCCUAGGAGUGGGAUUGCUGGAUCGUAUGGUUUAUCUAUUUCUAGCUUUUUAUGGAAGCAUCAUAUUGUUUUUCCAAAAGGGUCAUACCAUUUUGUAUUCCCACCAGCAGUGCAUAAGAGUUCCAAUCUCCCUGCAGCCUCUCCAACAUUUGUUAUUUUCUGUUUUUUUGAUUUGUGCCAGUAAUGUUGGGGUGAGAAGGUAUCUUAUUGUGGUUUUGAUUUGCAUAUCUCUAAUGGCUAGUGAUUAUGAGCAUUUCCUCAUGUAUCUGUUAGGCACUUGAAUGCCUUCUUUGGUGAAGUGUCUUGUUCACAUAUUUUGCCCAUUUUUUAAUUGGAUUGUUGGCCUUUUUCUUGUAGAGGUGUUGGAUUUUCCUGUAGAUUUUAGAGAUUAGAUCUUUGUUGAGUUUGUCAUAGCCAAAUUUUUUUUCCCAGUGUGUAUGUUCUCUUUUUACUCUUUUGGUGAAGUCUUUUUUUUUUUUUUGAUGAGCAUAAGUGUUUAAUUUUUAGAAGAUCCCAGUUAUCUAGCUUAUAUUCUGGUGUUUGUGUAUCAUUGGUUAUGGUUUGUAUUCUGUUAAUGCCAUGUAUUAGGGCCUCUAGUGUUGACCCUAUUUUUUCUGCAAUGAUCUUUAUAGUUUUUGGUUUUAUAUGUAGGUAUUUCAUCCAUUUUGAAUUAGUUUUUGUGUAUGGUGUGAGGUAUGGGUUCUGUUUCUUUUUUUUUUUUUUUCAGAUAGACAUCUAGUUUUGCCAAUACCAUUUGUUAAAAAGACAAUCUUUUCCCCAUUUGAUGGAGUUUGGGCCUUUGUCAAAGAUCAGGUGACCAUAGGCGGAUGGAUUUACAUCUGGGUUCUCAAUUCUGCUCAGUAGGAUUUUUGUUUUCUUUAUGUUGAAGUGUAAUCCAUACUGAAGGCUGUGGUCUUUGAUCUUUAUCAGUAAGUGCUUUGAGUCCUCUUCACUUUAAGCAAGCAAGGUUGUGUCAUCUGCAUCUGACGGGUUGUUAAAUGAGUCUUCCUCCAAUCCUGAUGCCCCGUUCUUCUUCAUAUAGUCUGGCUUCUCAGAUUAUUUGCUCAACAUACAGAUUGUAUAAGUAUGGUGAAAGCAUACAACCCUGGCACAUACCUUUCCUGACUUUAAACCAAUCAGUAUCCCCUUGUUCUGUUUGAACGACUGCUUCUUGAUCCAUGUACAGGUUCCUCUUGAGUACAAUUAAGUGUUCUGAAAUUCCCAUUCUUCACUAUGUUAUCCAUAAUUUAUUAUGAUCCACACAGUUGAAUGCCUUUACAUAGUCAAUAAAACACAGGUAACAAUCUUUCUGGUAUUCUCUGCUUUCAGCCAAGAUCCAUCUGAUAUCAGCAAUGAUAUCCCUUGUUCCACACCUCCUUCUGAAUCCGACAUGAAUUUCUGGCAGUUCCCAGUCAAUGUACUGCUGCAACUAUUUUUUUUUUUUAAUUAUCUUCAGCAAAAUUUUACUUGUGUGUGAUAUUAAUGAUAUUGUUCGAUAAUUUCUGCAUUCUAUUAGAUCAUCUUUCUUUAGAAUGGGCCCAUAUACGGAUUUCUUCCAGUUUGUUGGCCAGUUAGAGGUCUUCCAAAUUUCUUUCAUGUGAUCUCCAGCAUUCUUUCUAUCAUCGAGGCCAUAUUUUCCAGCUACUCAUCCUUCUUCUUUGUUUCCAACUUUUGCAUUCUAAUCACCAGUAAUUAUCAAUGCAAAUUGAUUGCAUGUUUGAUCAAUUUCAGACUGCAGAAGUUCCUAAUUUCAUCCGACAACGUUCCAGACAAUUUUUUUUUAGAAGUAGAUUGCCAGGUCCUUCUUUUUAGUCUGAAAGCUGUCCUGAAUCCUGUCCACCAUGGGUGAUCCUGCUGGUAUUUAUAAUACCAGUGAAAUAGUUUCCAGCAUAACAACAACACGAAAAUCACCAAGUAUGACAAACUGACAGAUGAGUGGUGGCCUACUACAUAGAAAAAGCUUAAUACAUGUUCAAUAAAAGUAGUUGGAGUAGUCACAGGUCAUUUGAACACAGCCCUUAACAGAUCACAGCUCAUCAACUCAGCAUCUGAAGAAAGAAGACCCAGGACAAAGAACCAGGGAGUCUCCAUCUUCCCCGUUUGUGGCUUCUCAGCCGGCUGGCUGUAUUGUCUUUGGCAAGCCACAUUUCUGCUCUGAGCCUGGGAUGCCUCCACCAAUGACCCCGACAAGCUGCACACAUGUGCUAUUUAAUAUGUUCCAAGAUCCUCCACACUCACCUCAAAGACCCUCACCCCUCUCAGACUAGGCUUGCCCUAACAAGCCUCCCCUGGCUUGACAAGGAGGCAUUUCUGAGCGGCAAGACAGAUUCCCUCAGCUGUGGAGGCUCUUGCCUGAAUGUACAGGUUCUCUGAAAACUACUCCAACAUUGUCAUGCAGGGCCAUGUGGCCAGGCAGAAGUUUUAGAUGGGCAAAGGUUCAUUUUUGAAAGGGGAGAGACAUUGUUCCAUCUGAUCUCUAAGACCAAGAGAAGGGGACAAGGCCUGGUAGAAACCAUUUUAAAGUAAUUCAGGAAAAAGCCAACCCUGUUGCCCUCGAGUCAAUUCCAACUCAGAGCUACACUAUAAGACAGAGUAGAACAGCCCCAUAGGGUUUCCAAGGAGAGGCUGGUGGACUUGAACUGCUGACCUUUUGGUUAGCAGCUGAGCUCUUAACCACUCUGCCACCAGUGCUCCAAGUAAUUCAGAGGCAGUAUUUAUUCCAGAGGUCUAUCCCAGAGUUAGCAUAAUAUCUGGCAUGUAGUAAGUGUUUAAUAAACAUCCAUGUGUCUGAUCCCUCAUGGUGCCCAGUGCCUUCAUGUUACCUCCUGGUUGUCAAAACCCUCAUCCUGGUGCCUCUGUACCUGAUCUGCUUUCUAAAUGUCUGUUUCUCUCAACCUCUUCUUCUCAAACAAUUCCCACUUUUUCAGAGUGGUGAUCACAGGCAACCUGAUUGAAUUAACUCAUACUCCUGAGAAUAUGGCUUCCCUAGGUGCAAAUGGAAACCCGGGUAGCAUAGUGGUUAAGAGCUAUGGCUGCUAAUCAAAAGGCUGACAGUUCAAAUCCACCAGGUGCUCCUUGGAAACUCUGUGGGGCAGUUCUACCCUGUCCUAUAGGGUCACUCUGAGUUGGAAUUGACUCAACAGCAAUGGGUUUGGUUUUUCUUUUUUGGGAGGGUACAAAUGGUUAAGUGCUCUACUACCAGCUGGGAGGCUAGAGGUUUAAACCCAUUCAGAGGUGCCUAGGAAGACAAGCCUGGCGAUCUGUCACAGCCUCGAAUAACCUAUGGAGCAGUUCUGCUCUGCACACAUGGGGUUGCCAUGAGUUGGAAUGGACUCCAUGGCAAUUAACAACAACAACCUGAGAUAUUUGCUCCUUCCCUGGCUCAAGUUUAUCUGUUGUUUUUAUUAUCUGCCAUUGAGUUGGCACCCAACUCAUGGUGACACCGUGCACAGUGAACUGUUGUAACCCAUAGGGUUUUCAUUGACUAAUAUUUGGGAGUAGAUCAACCAGGCCUUUCUUCCUAGUCUGUGUUAGUUUGGAAGUUCUACAGAAACUUGUUCAGCAUCACAGCGACACAUGAGCCUCCACUGACAGAUGGGUUGUGGCUACUCAUGAGGUGCCUUGGCUGGGAAUCAAACCCAGGGCUCCCACAUGGAAGGUAAGAAUUCUGCCACUGAACCACCACUGUCCUCCAAGAUUAUCUAGGUGGUGAAAUUUCAGGCACUAUGUCUUAAGCACAGAAUUUCAAGCAGUAUGAGGGAGGCACGCUUUGGGUAGCGAGAACUUCUGUCACUUAUUCGAGAACUACCUGCCCCUUCUCAGUUCUCCUGGUGCCCCUGGGUUGGUGGAACCCAGGACCCUUCAAAAGGUCUCAAAGUAUCUUCCUGCUCCCCUACCCCCAGUCCCUCACUGCCUCCUUUCAGCUGAGCUCUGGAAACCUCCCCCCCCCCCAUCUGAGCUUCCACAACCCUUCUGUCCUCUAUUCUUCUGGAAUUACACGGUGAUCGCCUGGGGAGGCCCAGACCCUGAGGCACAGCCCAGCUCUGAGAAAGCCCUCGCUGUUGGAGCCCUAGUUGCACCCCAGGAGAGCCUCAGUAGCUCAGGACUUCUGCUUCUCAGGAUCUUUGAUGAGAAAUAUUAGAGAGACUGUUGCCUGAUACUCUGAAAAUCAGAGUUGCUCCUAAUCAGCAGGGCCUCAUGUGGCUGUGGGGUAUUUAAAAAUCACAAAGCCGUUCUGCCUUCUUGGUGUAAAGCUGCUGCAGGGAGGAGCAGUUGAAGAUCAUUGUUGAGACUUCAUGAACCUGAUGGAAAAAAAUGAAAUUAUUCACCCUUUGUAGGUACAUUAACUCUUUAAUCUUCCAGAGAUUCCUUUUAACCAGGGUGCUUAAAGGAACCUCAGAUACUGGAAAGAACUAACCAUUUCCCACAUUCUUAGCAGCAAGAUGAAUGGACUGGGUGGGGAAGAGGCGGAGAGGGUAGUGCCAGCAUCUCUGAAAAAGGUUUCCGCUUUUUCUUACAUCUCGUUGGCUAGAACUUAGUCACAUGGCCAUUAGCUGCAAGGGGAGCUGGGAAAUAUGGUUUUAAUUCCAAGGAACCACAAACCCUCUGAAAAUCAGGGACUCUGUUACAAAAGAGGGAAACUCUGAUGGCUAGUGGUUAAGAGCUACGGCUGCUAACCAAACGGUCAGCAGUUCGAAUCCACCAGGCGUUCUUGGAAACCCUAUGGGGCAGUUCUACUCUGUCCUAUAGGGUUGCUGUGAGUUGGAAUCAACUCAACGGCAAUGGAUUUGGUUUUUUUCUUUUUCAUUAUAAAAGAAAAGAGCCCUAGUGUCACAAUGGUUAAGCACUCAGCUGCUAACCAAAAAUUGGCAAUUGGAACCUACCAGCCCUUCCAUGGGAGAAAAGACCUGGCGAUCUGCUUGCAUAAAGAUUACAGCCAAGAAAACCCUAUGGGGAAGUUCUACUCUGCCAUAUGGGGUCGCUAUGAGUCGGAAUCGACUUUUCAGCACACAACAACAUUACAAAAGAAGAAGCAGAAAAAACAUGAUGGGUAGGCAACAGGCAGCCUCAGCCACACCUCCUAAUUAGAAACACCCCCUCCUCUCUCCUCCUAUGGAGCUUUUUUACUCAUUUCCUCUAGCACUUACUCUAUCCUGAUCCAUAAGAGAGACCAGACACUCAUCUUCAUGAGGUCUCUUAUUCAUAUUUGAACCUCCACAGCCCCAGCAAAGGGGCUUAUAGUAAACUGCCAUUUAUUGAACACCUACUAUGGGCCAGAUACUUCAUACACAUUAAUUAUAAUUUAUUAUGUUUACAUGUAUAAUUUAUUAUUUACAAGAAAUAGGUAUUCAAUUUACAGAAGAAAGUGAGGGUCGAAAGAAGGUAAAUUAAGUGUUGAGCGAGGUGUUUUACUUCAAUGGACCCCAAGGUCUGUGUCUUUCAAAACUACCUCAGGAAUUUUCAAAACAUGCUAAAUGGGUUUCAGGGUCCCUUCUGGAUUUCUAGGGGUUGAGGAAGAAGUGAAGAGAGCAGACAAGACUCCAGCUCCACCACCCCCUCACCACCACCUUUGCCUCUUCACAGUUGCAGAGCGGGGUUCCAUGUAUGUGUUGCUUGAGCAAACUUGCACAGCUGAAAAUGUUUGGAAACCAUGGACAUAAGUCAUGCUGAACUGAAUGGUAUUGUAUUAAGGUGGAAGAGAAAGCCCUUGGCCUCCUCUCCCAUUUCUCACAUGGUGGUCUGCUGCAGGCCCCUCCACCCAGAGGUACUCAGUAGUUUUCUGAAAUUGUAUCCCAAGUGAAAGCAGUUGGCAUCAAGAAACCACAGCUGUUUAAGACAGUUUGACCCAAGUCAGAAACCCUGAAAGGAACCUAGAAAUGGACUUUUCUUCUAUGGUGCUAAUUAGAAGGAUUUAAAACCACAUAAGCCAGAAAGCUACAUAAGGCUGCAGGUAGGAGGAUGGGUACCAGUGACAUGACAAACCUCUCAGGCUUCUCUUUUAUGUGAGCACCUACCUGGCCUCUUGCUAUCUUGAUAAAUCAUACCUUUUGCCUCUGCCAGGGGACUCUGAAGCGGGUAUGCUCCCAGGACACAUUUCCCUGGUUUUUGCUGCUACUCAGGUGAAAAUAUGAGAGCUCUUCCCUGAGAUAUAAUCAUCAAGUGCUAUUAAGAUGUCUCAGAUGACUAAAGCUUUCUGACUUUUGCCUUUAACAGGACAUGCUAUAGAAUUCCCGAUCUCAGUUAGGUCCAAGCUGCAGGAUUCAGAAUCAAGAAACAAAGAAAAUAUGACCUUGUUAUUACAACCGAAAUGUUUCCUGUGGGUUGGAUAUUGCUUUGAUAGGGUAUGGCAUUGGCUGAGACAGACAAUUCAGCUAGAAAAUGAAGAAUGAGGAUAGUGCUCUAGGUGAGGGUGAUGAAAUGAGCAAAACACUGUGACCAGAAAACCAAAAACCAAAAAAAAAAAAAACAAACUCAU